GGAUGGAUGGAUGGAUGGAUGGAUGGAUGGAUGGUUGGAUGGAUGGAUGGAUGGAUGGGUUCUAUCAGCCUUGCCAGUCAUGGCUUGGGUGCCACUUUUAGAGACUAGUCUCCAUGUUCACUGGGGCUGUCUCAUGAGUUACUACAAUCCUUGUCAGUCUUUCAUGCUGGAGUGACAGUGAGUGUCAGCUCACCCCUGUCCUGACAGCUAAGACAGUCACAUAGAAAGAAGAGUCGCUAGCGACUGAGGGUUUAAAGUGCCAGGAGGAAGCGCAAGGGCCCUGCAGACAACCUGUGUUCAGCGUGCAAACUUUUCUCUGUCAACCCUGCCCCAGUUGCAAGUCCCAGAGCAGCAAUUUGGAAGAGCAGAGCCAUAAAGAGCGGUGCUCCUAGAAGGGACCGAGCCUGGCUUCGAGAUCAACUCCUCUGCUGGGGCAGACAGCGGCAUGCAGCCGAGGUCCUAGCGCAUGGAUGUGAGCAUGUAUGAGAGGUCCUCCUGGGGACCUGGAGGGGCUUCGUGAAUGCCUGGGAUCUGCCCUUCUCUGAGGUCUCUUCCUGGAGGCAGAAGAACACACCUGCAAUUUGUCACCCAAGACCAGUCUGCUUCCAUCAGCAUUGCCCUCAAGUCCCACUUCCUCAUGACGGAGUACCAAAGGCAUGGGCCACUCAUGCCUUCAGCAAUUGUUUGCAUGCCAGGCACUGUCUGGGCAGCAGGACGUUGCUGUGAGCCCACACGUAGUGCCCUGCCCUCUCCCAACACCUGCCGCGGAUGUACUGUGCCCUUGACUUCUCCACGGCUCAGUGGGUGAGUCCAGUCCUUCCAGCCCUCUCCAUCGUCCCCACCACAGAUUCUGCCUCCUGGCAGAAUCUUUGCCUUGCCUGGCAGGCUGUGAGGCUUCGCAUAGACGCUGCCACCCACCCACAUCCUCCUAAUGUGGCUGUAAAUUGCCUCAAGCAAAGCUUUAAGAGCACGCACCCACAUUCAUUCUUGGACCUAAUCUUUGCUCAGUUGGUCUGGAUUUGGGAUAUGAACUCUUUGAUUUCGAACAUUUUGAGACCACAAACCAGGUGUAAACGCUGAUGACAGCCAGAAAAGCCUGGAACAGGAGGAACAUAAAAAACAAGAAGGAGAGCAGAGGGUGGGCUCUCCCAGAGGGAGAUAAAUGACAGGAGGCUGGCACCUCCUCCAGGCAAGGACUGGACAGGGUGCUGCAUGGAUUGUCCAGGUAUGGAGCAGAGCCAAAACCUGGGAAAGGACAGGAGGGACCGGAGCCGUCUGGGAGAAGUGGAAGCAGUUUGGCAUCACUGGCAUUUUCUGGGUGUCUCGAGAUGCGAUGCAAGCUGACAUUCUAUUAGACAGCAUUUGAAUUGUAGCUUAGAGUGUCAGACUAUUUUACAACGCUUUAAAAUCCUACCUUUGUUUUACAAUGUUCCUAUAAAGCAGACAGGGAGCACUGUUUUCAUUUUAUGGACUGAGCCAAGCACACAGCCGACUCGCUCCUGGUUGGGCAGAGUUAGAGAAUGAGCAGAGAUGCAAACUCCGCAACCGCUGCUUCCCAGUGUUGGCAAAGUCCACAGGAUGGGUCCUUCCAGCCUGGGGCCUUGGGCUUGUCACCGAUUCCUUUCCAGACCCCACCCUCAGGCCCCCUCAUGAGCCGAGAUCACGGCAUUGCACUCCAGCCUGGGUGGCCAGAGCUAAACUCCAUCUCAAAAAAAAAAAAAAAAAAAAA
ensembl:lncRNA